GGAAGGGGUGUAUUUAUUAGAUUAAAAACCAAUGCCCUUCGGGGCUUCCUGGUGAUUCAUAAUAACUUCUCGAAUCGCACGGCCUUGCGCCGGCGAUGGUUCAUUCAAAUUUCUGCCCUAUCAACUUUCGACGGCUGGGUCUUGGCCAGCCGUGGUGACAACGGGUAACGGAGGGUUAGGGCUCGACCCCGGAGAAGGAGCCUGAGAAACGGCUACUACAUCCAAGGAAGGCAGCAGGCGCGCAAAUUACCCAAUCCCGACACGGGGAGGUAGUGACAAUAAAUACUGAUACAGGGCUCUUUUGGGUCUUGUAAUUGGAAUGAGUACAAUUUAAAUCCCUUAACGAGGAACAAUUGGAGGGCAAGUCUGGUGCCAGCAGCCGCGGUAAUUCCAGCUCCAAUAGCGUAUAUUUAAAGUUGUUGAGGUUAAAAAGCUCGUAGUUGAACCUUGGGCCCUAGCCGACCGGUCCGCCUCACCGCGUGCACUGGUUCRGUUUGGGUCUUUUCCUUCUGGAGAACCUCAUGCCCUYUACUGGKGUGUGKUUGGGGAACCAGGACUUUUAC
rnacentral:rRNA from 1 species